rnacentral:rRNA from 1 species
AUGGCUGCGGCGGCGGCGAAGGAGGCGGACAUGAAGAAGAUGGAGCUUAUGAAGGAGGUAAGAGCGCACCAAGUGGCGAUUGGGGAGCUCAACAACCUGCCUCCAUCCAGGAAGACCUGCAACAUCUUCUUCCGCAAGGACAUCAAAUCCGCCGUCGCGUCCCAGCAGAAGCAACUUGAUAUCGCCAAGGCGAAGCUGCAGAAGCUAGAUCAGGCAUCAUGA